AUACGUAGGGGGCGAGCGUUGUCCGGAAUGAUUGGGCGUAAAGGGCGCGUAGGCGGCCUGUUAAGUCUGGAGUGAAAGUCCUGUUUUCAAGAUGGGAAUUGCUUUGGAUACUGAUGGGCUUGAGUGCAGGAGAGGUUAUCGGAAUUCCCGGUGUAGCGGUGUAAUGCGUAGAGAUCGGGAGGAACACCAGUGGCGAAGGCGGGUAACUGGACUGCAACUGACGCUGAGGCGCGAAAGUGUGGGGAGCAAACAGGAUUAGAUACCCUGGUAGUCCACACUGUAAACGAUGAAUGCUAGGUGUAAGAGGUAUCGACCCCUUUUGUGCCGGAGUUAACACAAUAAGCAUUCCGCCUGGGGAGUACGGCCGCAAGGUUGAAACUCAAAUGAAUUGACGGGG
rnacentral:rRNA from 1 species